rnacentral:lncRNA from 1 species
GGUGCUCCAAUCCCAAUACUAGUUGCAAUUGUAGAUUUACACAAGGCCCUGGUGUUGGCAAGCCUUUGUAAUAUGUUUCCAUGACUCAAGCAGAUUCCAUUAGGAUGAGUCUGGAAAGGUUUGGUAUGGUGGCAGCUUUUGUUUUCCCUCCAUGUCAAGGCCUGAAAGGGGUGAAGCAGCCUUGGGGGUGAGCCUCCUGGUUUUUUGCCUUUGACACCAAAUUCAUGUUCCUUCUUGUCACUUUGGGGUUCUGCAGGAGGAUAGGGGUGGUGUGGGGAGGAAUGCAGGGGGCAACCCAUACAUGGUAAUUCUCAACUUUAAAGUAUCAAUUAAACUGGCUUCUCAGAUUUUCCUCGUUUCCCUUAACGGAUCCUUAACUCACUCUGUGUUUUCUGAAUGAUGAAGCACCUUGGUGUAGUAGAGACCUAACUUGCAAAAAUACUUCCAGUAAAGAAAAUGUGGUACAUAUAUGCCACAGAAUAGUAUGCUGCCAUAAAAAAGAAAAAAAGCAUGUCCUUUGCAGCAGCAUGGAUGGAGCUGUAGGCCAUUGUCUUAGGUGAACUAAAUCAGAAAUAGAAAACUAAAUACUGCAUGUUCUCACUUAUAAGCAAGAGCUGAACAAUGGACACAUGGACAUAAAGAUGGAAAUAAUAGACACUGAAGCCUCCAAAAGGGGGGAGGUGGGAGAGAGUGAGAGUUGAAAAAUUACCUAUCAGAUAUAGUGUUCACUAUGUGGGUAAUGAGUACACUAGAAGCUCAAUCCCUGCUAGUAUGCAAUAUAGCCAUGUAACAAACAAGCACAUGUACCCUUGAGCCUAAAAAACACAACACAACAAAAACCCCAAAAUACUUCCAGGUUGUCCGCAUUUGGCAAUCCUCAGUUCAGUGAAUUUCCUUUUGCAUUGGCAUCUGGAUGCUAAACAGGAAAGGGAAUUUUUAAAGGUUUACAAUAUUAUGUGCACUUGAGGGGCACUACCUGUUUGGGGGUGUAGGAGCUGGAGGAUGCAAAGAAGGAUUGAUUAAAAAUGAAAGGAGAGAGUAGGAAGAAUGAACAGAGCUUGAAUGAAACAGAAUUAUUUAUCUCUGUGGGCUAGAUUUCUGGGGGCUAAUGGACAUUAAGGGGUUGGCGGAAACUGAAGACUGUGUUAUUUCAUGGAGAACUGUCCUCGAAGUUGGAGGUGCAACAAGCCUCUAGUGUAAGCCUCAUGCGAGUAAGGUCGUGUCUGAUUGUCCUAUCCAUGUACCAGUGUCUAGAACAAUGCUUGGCACCUACACCAAGCACUGAAUAAAUGUUCAUUUAGCUUAUGGUGUGAGGCAAUGAAUACAUCUUUCUAAAGACUGUAGGCAGACCGAGCAACUGAGAAAAUGUCAAGGGCCACCACUGAAAGCUUUACAAGUAAGAGCCUGUUAGGAUGGCGAGGGUCUGAGGAAAUUUGGAGAAAAAACCCUCAGCACAAUCUUUAAUAAGCGUCUGCGUCAUCCCGAUGAACGACUGUUGUGGUUUGGAUGCUUAUGGCUUUGAUCUACCUUUCAGUCAACAUAUAUGAGCAGUUUGGGGGGAUAAUAGAAUGAGAAUUCCCAAAAUAUUGUUGGAGGAGAAGGGAGCAAUAGGUGUUGGCAGGGAAAUUCCAGCCCAAGUAUAUAAAUAACCAAAGGGAAUUUUUUCAUCAAAUUGUGGGAAGCGGAUGAACCAACCUCUCUGGGCCUGUUUUCCUAUCCGUAUUGGGGGCAAGGUGAGAGAAGCCGUAAGAUGUUCCCUGGGGUUUCUUUCAACUCUGUGCUUUUUAUGUUUCCUACCCUUGUUCUGUAUCCUAAGCCCUUCUCUGCUACACAAAGAUAUGUCGUUAUUUUUCUCUAAGGCUUUUUCCCCUUGACUUACCAAAGCACUGCUAACAUAUAACAAUUCUCUUUUUUUAAAAUAAGUUUUUUUUUCCUUCUUUUUUUUGAGACAGGGUCUCACUUUGUCACCCAGACUGGAGUACAGUGGCAUGAUCCUAGCUCACUGCAGCCUCGACCUCUUGGUUUCAAGCGAUCCUCCUGCCUCAGCCUUCUGAGUAGCUGGGUCUGCAAGAGCGAACCAAUAUAUGACUGUCUUUUUUUUUUUUUUUUUUUUUUUUUUUUUUUUUUUGUAGAGAUGGAGUAUACUAUGUUGCCCAGGCUGGUCUCAAAAUCCUGGCCUCAAGUGAUCCCCUGGUCUCAGCCUCCCGAAGUGUUAACAUUACAGGUGCGAGCCACUACUCCCAGUCGACAUUUGUCAAUCCUCCAACACGCAAUGAUACCUAGUAAAAUGGACUGGUGUUUAUGUAUGAGAUUUACAAUUAGAAAAGAAAAACUUUAAAUUUGGUAUUAGCUAGACCUCCUUUCUGGAGCGGGGCAGCCACUGCCCUCCACAGGGAGGCUCUUCUGCUACUCCUGGGCAUCCCUCGGUCCCCUUCCUCCCUGCACCCUGGCCUGCCACCACUGUGAGCAUCUUUGUCCAUGUCCUUCCUAGAAAAGGACCAGGCUUCUGCCUUGCCCUCUGAAUCCAGUCCAGGAGAGGAGGAAAAGGCACAACCGCCCCAGUUUUGCCACAACUCGGCUCAAGCCAAAACCAAACUUUGAACAUGAGGUCCUUUCACUUCUCUUUGCCCCAAAUGCAGAACAGAAUUUUGGCUUGAUGUUUGCAUCGCCCACUGAAAUGUUUUAUUUUGUUUUUGUUUUACUCCCUUAAAAUAUGUACACCCCGGCCCUUCAUUUAAGCCUCCAUCUCUAGUAAUAAAAAGAACUGCCAAAGCUUUGUUUGUUUUUAAGAUAUCAGAGAUUUCAGCGUCAGUUUGCUUUAAGGGAUCAGAGCUGACCUAUCUCCCUUUGACCAGCACACUUCAAGCACGUAGCUCUGAUUAGGGCACAGGGUUGAGCCUCAGAAGGCCUAUCUGGCUUUUCCAGAACAAAUCUCAGGAAUCUAUUUUUUCUGCACCACUUAGGAAAAUCAGGACUUCGGUUCAUAGGUUUUGUAAAUAUUGAAUUUUAAGUUUCUAGCCUGAUUUUGUGGUAAAGAGAAGAGAAAUAACUAUAGUUUACAGCUGAAAUUUGGUCUUGGGCUCCAUUUUAUGCUGUCUUCAGUUUAGAUGUCUCAUGGAAAAUAAAGCAAUUUCUUGAUGGCUAAUGUUUGUGGGUAUGCAGAAAUGAAACAGCCACACUACUACCUUUCUAAUCAUUUCCCCUUUCUGCCAUAUUUUGGAGCUGGUAAUUAUUCCAAGGUCAGUGAGUGUGAUGUUAACCUGUCAAAGGAACUCAAGAAAAAAAGACUGCUAUGCUCUCUGAAAAUAUAAAGCACUCUCUAAAUGUUUAAUAAUAAAAACACUUCGUCACCAGAUCAUCUCUAUUUUCUUUUUCUCUCUCCUCCCUUUGAAUUUUGCUUACAGUUAUAUAGAAUGUCAUGAAAAUAAUAACUUUGCAAAGCACUCCCAAGUUUACCAUGUACCUUCCCAUAUGUGAUCUCAUUUGGAGCUCGUAACAGCUGGGUGAUCUCUGGUGGUUUAUUAGACCCAUUUUGCAGAGGAGAAGACUGAGGGAUAGUCAAUGGCUUGACCCUGUCCUGCUUGACCCGGCCAGGCCAUGGCUGCCCCAGGACCCAGGUGAAGUUCUCCAGAUCACCUGUUAGUGUUCCCUGACUGGCACAAAUGCAUCCCUCUGCAUUGGAAACUACAGUCUGAUUCUGUGUAAAGUCUAGCUGUGGGACUGCAGAACAGAAAUCCAGUCUGCUACCUUUUAUAAAUCAAAGCAAUUCUUUUACACAGUUUUCCCAGAAGGGUCAAGCCAACUCUCCUACAAACAGCCAUCUUAUCAAGUGCUUUCUGAAAGAAUGUAUCAGUCCCUCUGAGACCUGAGGUGACAGUUCACUGCGAUUGCUGUCCUGCUCCCUCAC